rnacentral:misc_RNA from 1 species
AAGUCGUAACAAGGUUUCCGUAGGUGAACCUGCGGAAGGAUCAUUCUUGUAUCUACACCACCACUUUUAGUGGCAAACUUUGUGAACUGUACACUCACUUGUGCGCAUCACUGCUGUCGAUGUUGCUGAGACGAGUGGGCCGACUUGGCGAAAGGCGAUACCUCCGACUGGAAGCAUGCGCGUCGUCCUUUUUUGGUUCACAACAUCUUGGCACUUCGACGGACGUGAUGUUGCGCUAACCUCCGCGUACCACACUAAUCUUUAAACUUACUUUUAUAAUUAAAUUUAAUACAACUUUCAGCAACGGAUCUCUUGGCUCUC